UUCAGUGCUGUCCUGGGUUAACCUGAAAGCAAUCUCCGAGGCUCCCCUUUCUGGCUUUCAGGGAGCCAGAGACUGACCGGACACUUGGCUCUGCAGGUGCAGACCUGGGCCAGAGAGAGAGCCAAGGAAGUCCACAGUGGAGAGAGGGCUGUGCUGGGGGUUCCAGGAAGACUUCCUGGAGGAGGGGAUCUUGGAGCUAGGCCUUGAAGACGAGUUUGUCAAAUGAGGAAGGGCAUCCGAAGCCGAGGGAACGGUACAAGGGAACGCUGGGGAGGGGAGAGAAUCUGGAGAGUUCCGGAAAAAGCAAGUAGGACUCUUUCCAGAAGUUCGGGCAAGAUUUUCCCUGGAUCAGGGCGUGGGUUCUCCAGUACUCGUCCCUCCCGGUCACCGAGAUGCUCUGAGUUUCCGGUCUGAACCUGAACUAAAGAGGUGUAGUCCCUCCUUUCUUGAACGGGAAAACUGAACGCACAUAGGUCCUUGCCACGCCUAAGGCUGCGGAGUGAGCAGAUGGAAAAUGCGGGACUCAAAACCUCCCCUCGCUGUAAUUUGCACUGCCCUGUGCCAAACUCUGUCCUUUCUUCCAUUCCUUAUUCCUAUUGUCAGCCUCGCUGCGCUAGGACGCUAAAAAUUUGGUCUCAUGUUGCCCGGGGAACAACAUUUCGCUACACCUACCUCCAUACCGCCUCCAGCUCCCGCUCUCCCUUGCACCAGCCAAUGGAAGCGAGUAUCUUCAGACGGUGGGCGGGACGUAUCCUAAGAUACCCAAUGGUGGUCGAGAAUAGUUGAGCACUUUACUAGUCAAGCCGCGGAGUGGGCGGGGCCUCCUGCCCAGACUUGAAGCCACACAGAUUGUGCACGCGCCGGAGCAGCGGCGCACCAGCCCCCGGCUCCGGCGCCACCAUCUUCGCGCUAAGCUCUGGCCAAGGCCGCUGCGGCAUCGCAGUGAUCCGGACCAGCGGCCCUGCCAGCGGCCACGCCCUCCGAAUUCUCACGGCACCCCGAGACCUGCCCCUUGCUCGCCACGCCAGCCUGCGCCUGCUCAGCGAUCCCCGCUCCGGGGAGCCUCUGGACCGCGCACUGGUGCUCUGGUUCCCAGGUCCCCAGAGUUUCACCGGUGAGGACUGCGUGGAGUUCCACGUUCAUGGAGGCCCGGCAGUGGUGAGCGGCGUCCUGCAGGCCUUGGGCAGCGUGCCAGGGCUUCGACCGGCGGAGGCAGGCGAGUUCACCAGACGGGCGUUCGCCAAUGGGAAGCUGAACCUGACCGAAGUGGAGGGGCUGGCGGACCUUAUCCACGCGGAAACAGAGGCGCAGCGGCGGCAGGCCCUCAGGCAGCUGGACGGAGAGCUAGGCCACCUCUGCCGUGGCUGGGCCGAGACCCUCACCAAAGCUCUGGCCCACGUGGAGGCCUAUAUCGAUUUCGGCGAGGAUGACAACCUGGAGGAGGGGGUCCUGGAGCAAGGUGGGUCUACCUGGUGGUGGGGGAGGAAGACACCUCAUAUCAGCCCUCAAAGGCUCCCCUCACUGUCUCUCUCUGCCUGCCUUCUGUCACCCACAGCCGACAUCAAAGUACGGGCACUGGAGGUGGCCCUGGGUGCACAUCUACGAGAUGCCAGGCGCGGGCAGAGGCUCCGCUCAGGGGCGCACGUAGUGGUCACUGGACCCCCCAAUGCGGGCAAGAGCAGCCUAGUGAACCUGCUCAGUCGGAAACCUGUGUCCAUCGUGUCCCCGGAGCCAGGGACCACCCGUGACGUGCUGGAGACCCCAGUCGACCUGGCCGGAUUUCCUGUGCUGCUGAGCGACACGGCUGGGUUGCGGGAGGGCGUGGGGCCCGUGGAGCAGGAGGGCGUGCGGCGCGCCCGGGAGAGUUGCAACUUCCUGGCCACCGUCGUAGCCUCUGUGGGAGCCCAGAGCCCCAGUGACAGCAGCCAGCGCCUCCUCCUGGUGCUGAACAAGUCGGACCUGCUGUCCCCGGAGGGCCCAGGUCCCGGUCCUGACCUGCCCCCGCACCUGCUGCUGUCCUGUCUGACGGGAGAGGGGCUGGACGGCCUCCUGGAGGCGCUGAGGAAGGAGCUAGCUGCAGUGUGUGGGGACCCGUCCACAGAUCCCCCGCUGCUGACCCGAGCAAGGCACCAGCACCACCUCCAGGGUUGCCUGGAUGCCCUCGGCCACUACAAGCAGUCAAAAGACCUGGCCCUGGCGGCAGAGGCGCUGCGGGUGGCCCGGGGUCACCUGACCCGGCUCACGGGUGGAGGGGGUACCGAGGAGAUCCUGGACAUCAUCUUCCGGGACUUCUGUGUGGGCAAGUGACGGGAUCCAGGGAAGUCGCACCCAAGCUGCUGCAGUGGUGCGACCUUGGCUCACUGCAACCUCCAUCUCCGGGGCUCAAGCGCUUCUCCUGCCUCAGCCUCCUGAGUAGCUGGGAUUACAGGCAUGUGCCAGCAUGCCCGGCUAAUUUUUUUCUUUUUUUGAGACAGAGUCUCGCUCUGUCACCCAGGCUGGAGUUCAGUGGUGCGACCUCGGCUUACUGCAACCUCCACCUCCCGGGUUCAAGUGAUUCUCCUGCCUCAGCCUCUUGAGUAGCUGGGACUACAGGCGCACACCACCACGCCAGGCUAAUUUUUGUAUUUUUAGUAGAGACAAGGUUUCACCAUGUUGACCAGGCUGGUCUUGAACUCCUUGACCUCAGGUAAUCUGCUUACCUUGGCCUCCCAAAGUGCUGGGAUCACAGGCGUGAGCUACCACGCCUGGCCCCAGAAGUGUUUCAACAUGGAAAUUUUCCUUAGCCCUUCUGUGGUUGUCAUGGCUUUAUGUGUGUCUUUCCAGAACUUUGAAUGUUUGCAUACUUGUGGAUGUACCUUUCAAAUAUGUUUGUCUUGUGUAUCAUAUAUAAAUGGUAUUGUGUUCAUUGCUCU
rnacentral:sRNA from 1 species